UCCUGAAACAAAAAGUAAGGCAGUUUCGGUUUCGGUUUUCUAAAGCGUGAAGCGCCACUAGGUGGUGCUAUCUACUUCCUGAAACAAGUGUCAUGGCGGCUUCCUGUUUGGCUUUUUGAAGUUGAAACAGCUCAAGUACCAAGCUUUCUUGCGCUAUUUUGAAUGAUAUUGUGUUCUUAAAUGUACGUCUUCGUUACAAGUAUACUUAGUACCAUCUAGAAAAUCAAGCAUCGAUAUUUAAUUUUCGGCGCUUUGUGUACCCGUCAUACCUGAAGGCAAGCAAAUAGCCACUGCGUCCUGCACGAACUUGUGGCCUGCCUAUCGAGGCCACUCCUCUCUGAACAAGGUUGUGUCAGUGUCCUCAGACCAAUGUGAUGUACUGGCA
rnacentral:lncRNA from 1 species